rnacentral:rRNA from 1 species
CAGCCGCCGCGGCAAUACCGGCGGCCCGAGUGGCGGUCACUAUUAUUGGGCUUAAAGCGUCCGUAGCCGGGUUGGGAAGUCCUCCGGGAAAUCUGGCCGCUUAACGGUCAGAAUGCCGGAGGAUACUCCCAGCCUAGGGAGCGGGAGAGGCCGAGGGUAUUCCCGGAGUAGGGGUGAAAUCCUAUAAUCCCGGGAGGACCACCUGUGGCGAAGGCGCUCGGCUGGAACGCGUCCGACGGUGAGGGACGAAGGCCAGGGGAGCAAACCGGAUUAGAUACCCGGGUAGUCCUGGCUGUAAACGAUGCGGACUUUGUGUCGGACAAGCUAUGAGCUUGUCCGGUGCCGGAGGGAAACCGUUAAGUCCGCCGCCUGGGGAGUACGGCCGCAAGGCUGAAACUUAAAGGAAUUGGCGGG